GCGAGUUUCUCAUCUGUGGAUUCGAGCUGAGCUUCCCUUCCUCUCGGUGUGGCUCUGAAUGAAGCAGGAGCAUGUGCAGAGCACUGUGUACCUGGGUGACCCUUCAUGCCUCACGUCCCAUCUUGAGACAUCCACAGUAACUGUGGGCCACAUGACAGUAUAAAGCACCUAUCCAAAGUCUCCUGGGUGUUUCUAGAGGUCAGGCACAGGACAAGGACCACAUGGCCCCUGUGAGAUGUUCUCCGUGGGAAGCAUGAAGUUCACAGUGCACCUGCUAGGUUUGGCGGCCUGCAAGCGGCCAGAGGCUGUUUGCUGGGAGGAGCUCACUCAUGCCAGUGAGAGAUGAACUGAGGGAAAUGAGUUUUACCAGAUCCUGGAAGAGAAAGGAGCAGGGCCCGGUGGGUGGGCCCACUCAUUUCAAUAAGAAUCCAACGUCUCAGUGCUUAUCAAAAGCAAACCAAGCCUGCAGGCCCUUUUCAGGUUUAUGGAUCUCCAGUCCACAUCCAGGACCUUUCCUCAGGAUUAAAUGAAACUUAAACCUGCUAAAUAAACACAGGCACAAAAUAAUCAUUGAGAGUCAUUCACUGAGCAUCAAUCAUCGCAGCCAGAGUGUUUCUCGUCUUGACAGCUUACUGUAGGGAGGGAUCCCUGAGUGCUCAGGAACAAAGGUGAGGGGAGGGAGGAGAAUAUAGCAACAGAGAGGAAGAUCUUUAUACAGCAAGCUCAGGAAGAAAAUUAAAUGAAGAAAUACAGUUAUCAACAGAAAGAGAAAUCCAAAAUUGGGUGAGAGGUUUUUGUGGUAGAGGUUACAAUGGGCUCUUCUUUCUCCUUUUAAUCCAAAGUAAUAAAA
rnacentral:lncRNA from 10 species